CCUAUUUGAACUUUGGCCUGUGCUGCAGCCCCACCUCUAUGUGGGUUAAAACCAGUGGUGUAGUGUGGUGGUACAGGGCGGUAUGGUGUACUGUUAAGAAAUUAAUAGCUGGUACGCCGUACUCCCAUAAUGUGUUACUGCUGGAAAGACUCCGUUUAUUCCGUUUUCACGUCUGACAUGAAAACGGAACAACUGCAGGAUACACAUUGGCGGAUUCAGCACAGUCCCAAGCCCUGCCCACUUACUGAUGCUGCGGGCUCCUCCAUGCCCCCAGUCACAGGCGCCCUUCUCAGUCCCUCAACGUGCUCCUGGGAAGACAGGUGAAGCCGAUGCCCGACCUCCUAGCAGCACACGGACACCCAGGACUUGUUCUCUGUUUUGGGGGCAGUUCGACACCCCACCUCUCAGCAAUACGAAGUUCCCAUGUGGAUGGACCUUCUCGCCUGUGCUGCUCUGGAGAAGCUACAGAGGCGAAGCAGAUCAACCCAAAUACAAGUUGCAAGGAAAGUAGAAAAAGAAGGGAAAAAAAGGCGGAAAGAAGAAAGGAAAAAAGAAGACAGCAAGAAAAAAGGAAAAUGGGGUAGAAAGACGGGAAGGGGAGGGAGGUAACAAUGGCAUCAUAGUGGCAGUACUUCACCAGAUACUAGCUCGUACAUGUGGGAAUCCAAAAAAUAUACAGCAGAACAGGGUGGUUCCAGAAAACACAAUCAAGAAAAGAGUAAAAAACGCGAUACGGCAUAUAGUGGGAGGAAACUUAAGACAAUUUACGUUUAAGUGACCAAGUAAUGUUGUCAAAAAUUUGCAUAAUGUGUAAAUUUACGUCAUGAGGCAAAAAUUCCAAAUAAA